GUGUUGUACGGAAGGAGAGCAGGUUGACAUUCCCCUUGACAAGGAUGGAAGAGGCCCUCGGGCCUGACAACAAGCAUUUAGUUAAGGCAUUGCCACCUACUUCGUGGCAUCUAACCAUUAUUUAAA
rnacentral:ncRNA from 1 species